rnacentral:rRNA from 1 species
GACGAACGCUGGCGGCGUGCUUAACACAUGCAAGUCGAACGGAAAGGCCCUGCUUUUGUGGGGUGCUCGAGUGGCGAACGGGUGAGUAACACGUGAGUAACCUGCCCUUGACUUUGGGAUAACUUCAGGAAACUGGGGCUAAUACCGGAUAGGAGCUCCUGCUGCAUGGUGGGGGUUGGAAAGUUUCGGCGGUUGGGGAUGGACUCGCGGCUUAUCAGCUUGUUGGUGGGGUAGUGGCUUACCAAGGCUUUGAAGGGUAGCCGGCCUGGGAGGGUGACCGGCCACAUUGGGACUGAGGUACGGCCCAGACUCCUACGGGAGGCAGCAGUGGGGAAUAUUGCACAAUGGGCGGAAGCCUGAUGCAGCAACGCCGCGUGCGGGAUGACGGCCUUCGGGUUGUAAACCGCUUUCGCCUGUGACGAAGCGUGAGUGACGGUAAUGGGUAAAGAAGCACCGGCUAACUACGUG